AGAGAAGCUUCGACUUUUUGUAAGCGCGUAACCGAUUGGUCGCGUCGAAUGCAACUACGCUUCUGGUUGGCUGAGAGGGCCCUGUUUUCCGAAGGUGGACUCCCAGAGAGUCGGGAACGCUGGAAGAAAAAAAAAAUCCAGCCACCAAACUGCACCAUGCGCCAACCCCGAGAGCGACUGGAAUAAUCACCGGGAAGCUGCUUGAACUCUUACUACAUUGAAUUACGACAACGCCCGCCUGUCCCGGAGCUCCCACCGUAUGUUUUCACUUCGUCUAGUAACUUUCAUGGAGAACCGUGGCCGCCGCUCCUCGCCUGUAAUGACGCCUCUUAACCACACAGAUGGACUAAGAAGUCAGGCAAAAACGGAGGUGUAAAUUGGACACAGGAACCCUAUUGUCUUGUGUCCCACUGAAGCUGCAUUUUCGAUGUGGGCGUUUACGGAAUACAGUGUUUUAAGUGAAGUUGAAUGAUGGCAUCACGUUGGACUAAAUCUUGUGACGAUGAUGACAGAUGUACAAGAUCUUCUUUCUGUGAGAAUGAUUGCCC